rnacentral:rRNA from 1 species
GAUGAACGCUGGCGGCGUGCCUAAUACAUGCAAGUCGAGCGAACAGACGAGGCGCUUGCUCCUCUGACGUUAGCGGCGGACGGGUGAGUAACACGUGGAUAACCUACCUAUAAGACUGGGAUAACUUCGGGAAACCGGAGCUAAUCCCGGAUAAUAUAUUGAACCGCAUGGUUCAAUAGUGAAAGACGGUUUUGCUGUCUCUUAUAGAUGGAUCCGCGCCGCAUUAGCUAGUUGGUAAGGUAACGGCUUACCAAGGCAACGAUGCGUAGCCGACCUGAGAGGGUGAUCGGCCACACUGGAACUGAGACACGGUCCAGACUCCUACGGGAGGCAGCAGUAGGGAAUCUUCCGCAAUGGGCGAAAGCUUGACGGAGCAACGCCGCGUGAGUGAUGAAGGUCUUCGGAUCGUAAAACUCUGUUAUUAGGGAAGAACAAAUGUGUAAGUAACUAUGCACGUCUUGACGGUACCUAAUCAGAAAGCCACGGCUAACUACGUG